UGAGUAACACGUGGGUAAUCUACCUUCUGGUGGGGAAUAACCGAGGGAAACUUUGGCUAAUACCGCAUAAGCCUGAGAAGGGAAAGUCGCAAGACGCCGGAAGAGGAGCCCGCGGCCGAUUAGCUAGUUGGUGAGGUAAAGGCACACCAAGGCAGAGAUCGGUAGCCGGCCUGAGAGGGCACACGGCCACACUGGCACUGAAACACGGGCCAGACUCCUACGGGAGGCAGCAGUGGGGAAUCUUGCACAAUGGGGGAAACCCUGAUGCAGCGACGCCGCGUGAGCGAUGAAGCCCUUCGGGGUGUAAAGCUCUUUCGUCAGGGAAGAUGGUGACGGUACCUGGAGAAGCAGCUGCGGCUAACUACGUGCCAGCAGCCGCGGUAAUACGUAGGCAGCAAGCGUUGUUCGGAGUUACUGGGCGUAAAGGGUGUGUAGGCGGUUCUUUAAGUUUGGUGUGAAAUCUCCCGGCUCAACUGGGAGGGUGCGCCGAAUACUGAGGGACUAGAGUACGGGAGAGGAAAGUGGAAUUCCUGGUGUAGCGGUGAAAUGCGUAGAUAUCAGGAGGAACACCGGUGGUGUAGACGGCUUUCUGGACCGACACUGACGCUGAGACACGAAAGCGUGGGUAGCAAACAGGAUUAGACACCCUGGUAGUCCACGCCCUAAACGAUGCAUAUUUGGUGUGGGCAGUUCAUUCUGUCCGUGCCGGAGCCAACGCGUUAAAUAUGCCGCCUGGGGAGUACAGUCGCAAGGCUGAAACUCAAAGGAAUUGACGGGGGCCCGCACAAGCGGUGGAGCAUGUGGUU
rnacentral:rRNA from 1 species